rnacentral:rRNA from 1 species
GAAGAACCUUACCUACCCUUGACAUGCCAGGAAUCCUGUAGAGAUAUGGGAGUGCUUGAAAGAGAACCUGGACACAGGUGCUGCAUGGCUGUCGUCAGCUUGUGUUGUGAGAUGUUGGGUUAAGUCCCGCAACGAGCGCAACCCUUGUCCUUAGUUGCCAUCAUUCAGUUGGGCACUCUAAUGAGACUGCCGGUGACAAACCGGAGGAAGGUGGGGAUGACGUCAAGUCCUCAUGGCCCUUAUGGGUAGGGCUUCACACGUCAUACAAUGGUCGGUACAAAGGGUUGCCAAGCCGCGAGGUGGAGCCAAUCCCGAAAAGCCGAUCGUAGUCCGGAUCGGAGUCUGCAACUCGACUCCGUGAAGUGGGAAUCGGUAGUA